CCUACGGGGGGCAGCAGUGGGGAAUAUUGGGCAAUGGGCGCAAGCCUGACCCAGCAACGCCGCGUGAAGGAAGAAGGCUUUCGGGUUGUAAACUUCUUUUCUGCGGGACGAAGAAAGUGACAGUACCUCAGGAAUAAGCCACGGCUAACUACGUGCCAGCAGCCGCGGUAAUACGUAGGUGGCAAGCGUUAUCCGGAUUUAGUGGGUGUAACGGGCGGGUAGGCGGGAAAGCAAGUCAGAUGUGAAAACUCAGGGCUCAACCCUGAGCCUGCAUUUGAAACUGUUUUUCUUGAGUGCUGGGGAGGCAAUCGGAAUUCCGUUUGUAGCGGUGAAAUGCGUAGAUAUACGGAGGAACACCAGUGGCGAAGGCGGAUUGCUGGACAGUAACUGACGCUGAGGCGCG
rnacentral:rRNA from 1 species